CAAUAGCGUAUAUUAAAGUUGUUGCGGUUAAAAGCUCGUAGUUGGAUUUCGGAGUGGGCCAGUUGGUCCGCCGCAAGGUGUGUUACUGACUGGUUUGCUCUUCUUCGCAAAGACUGCGUGUGCUCUUGAGUGAGUGUGCGUAGAAUUUACGACGUUUACUUUGAAAAAUUAGAGUGUUCAAAGCAGGCUAUUGCUUGAAUACAUGAGCAUGGAAUAAUGGAAUAGGACUUUGGUCCCAUUUGUUGGUUUCUAGGGCCGAAGUAAUGAUUAAGAGGGACAAUUGGGGGCGAUCCGUACUUUCGUUUGUCAGAGGUGGAAAUUACUUUGGAGUUUACGUAAAGAACGAACAAACUAGCGAAAGACACUUG
rnacentral:rRNA from 1 species